GACGAACGCUGGCGGCGUGCUUAACACAUGCAAGUCGAACGGAAAGGCCCUGCUUUUGUGGGGUGCUCGAGUGGCGAACGGGUGAGUAACACGUGAGUAACCUGCCCUUGACUUUGGGAUAACUUCAGGAAACUGGGGCUAAUACCGGAUAGGAGCUCCUGCUGCAUGGUGGGUGUUGGAAAGUUUCGGCGGUUGGGGAUGGACUCGCGGCUUAUCAGCUUGUUGGUGGGGUAGUGGCUUACCAAGGCUUUGACGGGUAGCCGGCCUGAGAGGGUGACCGGCCACAUUGGGACUGAGAUACGGCCCAGACUCCUACGGGAGGCAGCAGUGGGGAAUAUUGCACAAUGGGCGGAAGCCUGAUGCAGCAACGCCGCGUGCGGGAUGACGGCCUUCGGGUUGUAAACCGCUUUCGCCUGUGAUGAAGCGUGAGUGACGGUAAUGGGUAAAGAAGCACCGGCUAACUACGUG
rnacentral:rRNA from 1 species